rnacentral:rRNA from 1 species
UGGCGAACGGGUGAGUAAUACGUGAGUAACCUGCCCUGACUCUGGGAUAAGCCUGGGAAACCCGGGUCUAAUACUGGAUACGACCCUUCCACCGCAUGGUGGGGGGUGGAAAGGGUUUACUGGUUUUGGAUGGGCUCACGGCCUAUCAGCUUGUUGGUGGGGUAAUGGCUCACCAAGGCGACGACGGGUAGCCGGCCUGAGAGGGUGACCGGCCACACUGGGACUGAGACACGGCCCAGACUCCUACGGGAGGCAGCAGUGGGGAAUAUUGCACAAUGGGCGAAAGCCUGAUGCAGCGACGCCGCGUGAGGGAUGACGGCCUUCGGGUUGUAAACCUCUUUCAGUAGGGAAGAAGCGCAAGUGACGGUACCUGCAGAAGAAGCGCCGGCUAACUACGUGCCAGCAGCCGCGGUAAUACGUAGGGCGCAAGCGUUGUCCGGAAUUAUUGGGCGUAAAGAGCUCGUAGGCGGUUUGUCGCGUCCGCUGUGAAAGCCCGGGGCUCAACCCCGGGUCGGCAGUGGGUACGGGCAGACUAGAGUGCAGUAGGGGAGACUGGAAUUCCUGGUGUAGCGGUGAAAUGCGCAGAUAUCAGGAGGAACACCGAUGGCGAAGGCAGGUCUCUGGGCUGUUACUGACGCUGAGGAGCGAAAGCAUGGGGAGCGAACAGGAUUAGAUACCCUGGUAGUCCAUGCCGUAAACGUUGGGCACUAGGUGUGGGGGACAUUCCACGUCCUCCGCGCCGUAGCUAACGCAUUAAGUGCCCCGCCUGGGGAGUACGGCCGCAAGGCUAAAACUCAAAGGAAUUGACGGGGGCCCGCACAAGCGGCGGAGCAUGCGGAUUAAUUCGAUGCAACGCGAAGAACCUUACCAAGGCUUGACAUCCACCGGACUACCCACAGAGAUGGGGUUUCCCUUCGGGGCUGGUGGACAGGUGGUGCAUGGUUGUCCGUCAG